rnacentral:misc_RNA from 1 species
AAUGCACAGGCUCGUCUACUGCAGGCUGUAGAUUGCGCAUUUUCCAUGCGCUAGACCCUGCAAAGUAGGGCAUGUCGGAUAGCGAGUGGAGCUCUGACAGCGGUGUCUCGAACGCUGAGGCGAUCGUCGCCGCCGCCCUGAAUAUGCAUCUUGUCGAGCUCAUGACGUCGCAGCACCCGUCGCGCGUGAGUCACCGCCGACCUGCUUACGCGACCUCUGAGAGCACGAGGGCUUCAUCCGCGAAGAUCUCACAUAAGACUCGUGCUAGUGGCGAGGCGCCUCGCAAGCAAGCUCGUGUGGACAUUAGUAACCUCAUCCGACAGGCCCUCUCGCAGAGUGGUGCGCAUUGCCCAUCCGCCAACGUCGACGAAGUGGCGGGCCAAGUUGUCGCUGCGCUAAGACAGAGGGCUGGCGGUGCGGAAGUGGCCCGAGCGGUCACCCACGCGCUUGCCGAUCCACUUAACGAAGAACUUAGAGAGAGCGUUCUCAGUGGUCGUCUGCGUCCUGAAGAGCUCGUUGCCCUCGAUGAAGUGAGCCUCCUCAACCAAGCCGAGCGCGCAGUACUGGAAAAGGCUCGACUUGAGCGGCUGAACCAGCACUCAGUGGAGUAUCUAGAGAGGCACAACCUCACCGUUACAAACAUGUUCACCUGCCCGGAGUGUGGAUCUCGUGAGUGCUACGCGAACUUCCGCUUCACCGACUUUGUGAAGUGGCAGGGCGAUGAUCAAACGCCGACGCUGCUGCGGUGCUGCAGGUGCUCCCUAUCCUUCCGGCAAUGAGUGCGAGAAGCGAGACAGCAGCGAGUGCGCCCGGUGCCUGUCUGUGUGCGUGGGCUCCUGUCAAAGCGCUUACUGCCUCGACUGUUUUGAGGCGCUGUAUCCAUCCAUCUUCGAACCGCCACCGAACAGCGUGUCGGGGAGGCACACGAGAGACAUGAAAAAUAUGCUGUUUUCCUUCGUGUCGCAUUUGGCACCACUGUGCGUGCGUGCGUGUGUGCGUGCCUCGCGGUUUACCUCG